rnacentral:rRNA from 1 species
AACGAACGCUGGCGGCAUGCCUAACACAUGCAAGUCGAACGAGACCUUCGGGUCUAUUGGCGCACGGGUGCGUAACGCGUGGGAACCUGCCCUUAGGUUCGGAAUAACUCCCCGAAAGGGGUGCUAAUACCGGAUAAUGUCUUCGGACCAAAGAUUUAUCGCCUUUGGAUGGGCCCGCGUUGGAUUAGCUAGUUGGUAGGGUAAAAGCCUACUAAGGCGAUGUUCCACAGCUGGUCUGAGAGGAUGAUCAGCCACACUUGAACUGAGACACGGCCCAGACUCGGUCGGGAGGCAGCAGAGGGGAAUAUUGAAGAAUCGGCGAAUGACUGAUCGAGCUAUGUCGCGUGAGUGAUGUAGGCCGUAGGGUCGUAAAGCUCUUUUACCCGGGAUGAUAAUGACAGUACCGGAAGAAUAAGCUCCGGCUAACUCCGUG